rnacentral:rRNA from 1 species
GCCCAGACUCCUACGGGAGGCAGCAGUGAGGAAUAUUGGUCAAUGGGCGGGAGCCUGAACCAGCCAAGUCGCGUGAGGGAAGACGGUCCUACGGAUUGUAAACCUCUUUUGCCGGGGAGCAACGGGGGCCUUGCGAGGGUCCGAUGAGAGUACCCGGAGAAAAAGCAUCGGCUAACUCCGUGCCAGCAGCCGCGGUAAUACGGAGGAUGCGAGCGUUACCCGUUUUUAUUGGGUUUAAAGGGUGCGUAGGCGGACUGCCAGGUCGGCGUUAAAGUCGGGGGCCUCAACGUCGAUCCGCCGUUGAAACUGGCGUUCUUGAGUGGGCGAGAAGUAUGCGGAAUGCGUGGUGUAGCGGUGAAAUGCAUAGAUAUCACGCAGAACUCCGAUUGCGAAGGCAGCAUACCGGCGCCCAACUGACGCUGAAGCACGAAAGCGUGGGUAUCGAACAGGAUUAGAUACCCCCGUA